rnacentral:lncRNA from 1 species
GGGAGCCGGCUGCAGACGGAGCCGGCGGCCGAGGACGCAGCGCGGCGCCUGGCGACAGCUCGAACCGCGGGCGCAGCGGCCGCGCGGGGAGCGCGCCCAUGGGUAGCGCCGGACGGUGGCGGGCGGCGAGGCCCCGGCUUCUGCGCGCCGGCCUUAGAGGGGCCCAGAGGACUGCCGCUCCGAGGUUCUUGCUGCAGGCAGUGUGAGUGAGCUCCAGGCUCUGCACCAGAGGGAGGCUGCAGUCCUUUUAGUGCUGUGAGUGCUUCCCCUGCUGGGUGACAAGUCAGUGCUAUCAAAGCCAGGUGGUGGCCUAAGGGCCUCAUGGAACUACCUAGACACAGCUGAGGACCCUCUGGCAUUUCCUUACCUUGGAGAGCUAUGGAAGGCAGUUGUGCUUGUUUCUCCAGCACACAGGGUUCAUUUCCAGACGAAGGCUAGCAGGUAACCAAGGGGUGGAAGGAGGUUCUGGGCAAGUCUUAGGAUGUGCACAGCAUGAGC